rnacentral:tRNA from 1 species
GGUAGGGUGGCUGAGUUAAGGUAAUAGACUGUAAAUCUAUUUAGGAGGGUUGACCCCUCCCUUACCA